rnacentral:rRNA from 1 species
CAGGAUGAACGCUAGCUACAGGCUUAACACAUGCAAGUCGAGGGGCAGCAUUGGAGUAGCAAUACUUCAGAUGGCGACCGGCGCACGGGUGAGUAACACGUAUCCAACCUGCCGCUUACUCGGGGAUAGCCUUUCGAAAGAAAGAUUAAUACCCGAUGGUAUAAAGAGUUCGCAUGUUCUCUUUAUUAAAGAAUUUCGGUAAGCGAUGGGGAUGCGUUCCAUUAGAUAGUUGGCGGGGUAACGGCCCACCAAGUCUACGAUGGAUAGGGGUUCUGAGAGGAAGGUCCCCCACAUUGGAACUGAGACACGGUCCAAACUCCUACGGGAGGCAGCAGUGAGGAAUAUUGGUCAAUGGACGAGAGUCUGAACCAGCCAAGUAGCGUGAAGGAUGACUGCCCUAUGGGUUGUAAACUUCUUUUAUAAGGGAAUAAAGUGCAGGACGUGUCCUGUUUUGUAUGUACCCUGAGAAUAAGGAUCGGCUAACUCCGUGCCAGCCGCCGC